CUACAGCUGUUGUCUUUAUUUCUGUAUUUUUUUCCUAGCCACGAGACAAGCUAACAACAGCAUGAGGCUCUCGUUUCUCCCGUCCCUUCUGCUGGUUCUUUUCCUCGUCCUUCACGGGCACGUAGGGAGGACCUCGGGACGUAGAAAAGAAUACAUCCCAAACCCAAACCAGUGGAAAGUACAUUUCGCGCGGCGUGAUGUGAAAGGAGACCUGAUGGACCAGCUUCCGUCUGACGAGACGGACAGACUGACAAGAACCACGAAACAAGAUCUUCCCAUACUCUGGAACAGCAAUUUGUCUGCUGAUGAAGUGAAAUUAUGGUACAUACAACAACAUGCGAGGUGGAUGAUAUGGAAAAAUCUGGGGCGAGGAAAAUGAUCACAAUUCCACUAGAUCUAAGCUCAAAUGAUGAAGCUUCCUCACCAUGAAAAAAGGACAGGAAUUAAUCACCAGUGUCGGGACGUGAGGCUUAAGACACGACCGGAGUCACCCAAGAUCAACAAGCUGCCAAAUUCUAAUUAAACACUGGCUCCAACAUCACCACCACCACCAACAACGACGACAACAAUAAAACUACAACAUAAUCAUCAUCAACAACAACAACGCCAAAAAA